rnacentral:rRNA from 1 species
UAAGACGAACCGUGCGAACGUUGUUCGGAAUCACUGGGCUUAAAGGGCGCGUAGGCGGCUUCGCAAGUCCGGGGUGAAAGCCUCCAGCUCAACUGGAGAAGUGCCUUGGAUACUGCGGGGCUCGAGGGAGGUAGGGGUGCGUGGAACUUCCGGUGGAGCGGUGAAAUGCGUUGAUAUCGGAAGGAACGCCGGUGGCGAAAGCGACGCACUGGACCUCUUCUGACGCUGAGGCGCGAAAGCCAGGGGAGCAAACGGGAUUAGAUACCCCGGUAGUCCUGGCCCUAAACGAUGGGUACUAGGUAGUGGACUUGACAUGGGUUCACUGCCGAAGCAAAAGUGUUAAGUACCCCGCCUGGGGAGUAUGGUCGCAAGGCUG